GACAGAGGUGCCGAGCGUUAGGCGGAAUUACUGGGCUUAAAGCGUGUGUAGGCGGACUUCUAAGUACCUUGUGAAAUCCCACGGCUCAACCGUGGAACUGCUUGGUAUACUGGUCGUCUUGAGCCACCUAGGGGCAACCGGAACAAACGGUGGAGCGGUGAAAUGCGUAGAUAUCAUUUGGAACGCCAAUGGUGAAAACAGGUAACUGGGAGUGUGCUGACGCUGAGACACGAAAGCCAGGGGAGCGAACGGG
rnacentral:rRNA from 1 species